rnacentral:rRNA from 1 species
UCCCGUUAAGGGUGACCUGCGGAAGGAUCAUUAUUG